CCGUAAGAUGCCCAGACUUCAUUCUUCACAGUUGGGUGGGAGAAAAGUCAAGGAAGAGCAGCUACAGGCCAGGUGCGCUCCCUGUGGGAUCAACUCCUUUAAUGACGAGCUAAGAAGCAAGGCCAGGAGCCUGGACAUCCCGUUUCAGUCAACGUUCUUUGCCCAAGGACAUGCCAUGGCUGACUUCAUGCAGCAUUAAGACCGCACGGCCGACAUCACUCCGACUUCUCGCUUGUUGUGAUCACGUGGGCUCUAUGGGAUCACUGCUGGAUAGACUGCUGCCUGUGUCGGAAUGCCGAUAUCGGAUGAUUUUAGAUGCCGACGAUUGUUUUUUUUGCUGACAUUGGUUGUCAAUAUCUGAUCGGGACAUCCCUCGUCAAAGGGAGAGGGAAGAUAAGGCACCGGUGAAAGCUGCCCGUGAUGUCCUUGAUGAGGAGUCCAGUGGGGAGGUAGAGUAACACAUCUCUUUAGUCAACAGUGAACGUGCGUAAAGGACACACUUUACAUUGAUGGAAGGUCUGGCAUAGAUAUUUGAAAAUAUGCUGAUUUGUCAGCGCAAGCACAUCGUGGUCAAAUAAACCCUGGAGAAGGAAACAGUCGUAGCAGCAAGAGAGAAAAUCGAACAUUUCAUCAUUCGCUCAUAUGUACAUUUGUGUUUUGGUUUGGGAGUAGUAGAUGGGAACAAUUGUUUUUAUUUGUACGGGGCAAUAAUACACUCUACACUGUAGCAUUGUUGCAGUCGAUUGUUGAUGACUUUCUUCCCUCAGACUGUAUCAUUGUU